GAUGAACGCUAGCGGCAGGCUUAAUACAUGCAAGUCGAGGGGCAGCAUGACUGUAGCAAUACAGUUGAUGGCGACCGGCAAACGGGUGCGGAACACGUACAGAACCUUCCUUCGAGCGGGGAAUAGCCCAGAGAAAUUUGGAUUAAUACCCCAUAGUACAACGGAGUGGCAUCACUUUGUUGUUAAAGAUUUAUCACUUGAAGAUGGCUGUGCGGCUGAUUAGGUAGUUGGCGGGGUAACGGCCCACCAAGCCUGCGAUCAGUAACUGGUGUGAGAGCACGACCAGUCACACGGGCACUGAGACACGGGCCCGGCUCCUACGGGAGGCAGCAGUAAGGAAUAUUGGUCAAUGGACGAAAGUCUGAACCAGCCAUGCCGCGUGGAGGAUGAAGGUCCUCUGGAUUGUAAACUUCUUUUAUAUGGGACGAAAAAAGGGUUUUCUAACUCGUCUGACGGUACCAUAUGAAUAAGCACCGGCUAACUCCGUGCCAGCCGCCGCUGUAACAC
rnacentral:rRNA from 1 species